rnacentral:rRNA from 1 species
UACAGAGGUCUCAAGCGUUGUUCGGAUUCAUUGGACGUAAAGGGUGCGUAGGCGGCGCGGUAAGUCGGGUGUGAAAUCUUGGAGCUUAACUCCGAAACUGCAUUCGAUACUGCCGUGCUUGAGGACUGGAGAGGAGACUGGAAUUUACGGUGUAGCGGUGAAAUGCGUAGAUAUCGUAAGGAAGACCAGUGGCGAAGGCGGGUCUCUGGACAGUUCCUGACGCUGAGGCACGAAGGCCAGGGGAGCAAACGGG